rnacentral:rRNA from 1 species
CCUACGGGUGGCUGCAGUGGGGAAUAUUGGACAAUGGGCGAAAGCCUGAUCCAGCCAUGCCGCGUGUGUGAAGAAGGCCUUCGGGUUGGAAAGCACUUUCAGUGGGGAAGAAAGCCUUGGGGCUAAUACCCUCGAGGAAGGACAUCACCCACAGAAGAAGCACCGGCUAACUCCGUGCCAGCAGCCGCGGUAAUACGGAGGGUGCGAGCGUUAAUCGGAAUUACUGGGCGUAAAGCGCGCGUAGGCGGUCUGAUAAGCCGGUUGUGAAAGCCCCGGGCUCAACCUGGGAACGGCAUCCGGAACUGUCAGGCUAGAGUGCAGGAGAGGAAGGUAGAAUUCCCGGUGUAGCGGUGAAAUGCGUAGAGAUCGGGAGGAAUACCAGUGGCGAAGGCGGCCUUCUGGACUGACACUGACGCUGAGGUGCGAAAGCGUGGGUAGCAAACAGGAUUAGAUACCCUGGUAGUC